rnacentral:rRNA from 1 species
UACGGGGGGGGUAAGCGUUGUUCGGAAUUACUGGGCGUAAAGGGCUCGUAGGCGGCCAACUAAGUCAGACGUGAAAUCCCUCAGCUUAACUGGGGAACUGCGUCUGAUACUGGAUGGCUUGGAUCCGGGAGAGGGAUGCGGAAUUCCAGGUGUAGCGGUGAAAUGCGUAGAUAUCUGGAGGAACACCGGUGGCGAAGGCGGCAUCCUGGACCGGUAUUGACGCUGAGGAGCGAAAGCCAGGGGAACAAACGGG